rnacentral:rRNA from 1 species
GGUUGGCUCAGAAGCAGCCAUCCUUUAAAGAGUGCGUAACAGCUCACUAGUCGAGUGACCCUGCGCCGAAAAUGUACCGGGGCUAAGCCUGAUACCGAAACUGCGGAUUGUAGGAAACUAUAGUGGUAGGGGAGCGUUGUAUACGAGUAGAAGCCGUACCGUGAGGAGCGGUGGAUUGUAUAGAAGUGAGAAUGCCGGUGUGAGUAGCGAGAUGUAGGUGAGAAUCCUACACACCGAAAGCCCAAGGAUUCCAGGGGAAGGUUCGUCCGCCCUGGGUAAGUCGGGACCUAACGCGAGGCCGAAAGGCGUAGUGGAUGGAAAGCAGGCGAAAGAUUCCUGCACCCGUAUAUGGAGCGAAGGAGUGACGGAGACGGAUAGUGUGACCCUCUUAAUGGAUUGAGGGCGAAGCGAAGCGGCUGGUUACCAGGCAAAUCCGGUAACUGAAAGGCUAGAGCGUGAUAGGUAAGCGAAAUCUUAGGAAAGUAGCGAAGCACAUGAUGACGGCUUCCAGGAAAAGCUUCUGGCAAUGCAUAUGCGGCCCGUACCAAAACCGACACAGGUGGGCAGGGAGAGAAUCCCGAGGUGAGCGAGAGAACUGUUGCCAAGGAACUCGGCAAAAUGACUCCGUAAGUUAGCGAGAAGGAGUGCUUAAGCAAUUAAGCCGCAGUGAAGAGGCCCAAGCGACUGUUUAACUAAAACACAGCUCUCUGCGAAGUCGCAAGACGAAGUAUAGGGGGUGACACCUGCCCGGUGCUGGAAGGUUAAGAGGAUCUGUUAAGAGUGAUCUGAAGCAGUGAUCCGAAGCCCCAGUGAACGGCGGCCGUAACUAUAACGGUCCUAAGGUAGCGAAAUUCCUUGUCAGGUAAGUUCUGACCCGCAUGAAAGGCGUAAUGAUUUGGGCACUGUCUCAACAGCCCGCCCGGCGAAAUUGUAGUACCGGUGAAGAUGCCGGUUACCCGCAACUAGACGGAAAGACCCCAUGGAGCUUUACUGCAGCCUGAUAUUGAAUUCUGGUCAUACAUGUACAGGAUAGGUGGGAGACAAAGAGACGUGCACGCCAGUGUACGAGGAGUCGACGUUGGGAUACCACUCUUGUGUGACCGGGGUUCUAACCUGGUAUCGAGAACAGGUACGGGGAGAGUGUCAGGUGGGCAGUUUGACUGGGGCGGUCGCCUCCCAAAGAGUAACGGAGGCGCCCAAAGGUACGCUCAGAUUGGAUGGAAACCAAUCGACGAGUGCAAUUGCAGAAGCGUGCUUGACUGUGAGACUUACAAGUCGAACAGGGACGAAAGUCGGGAAUAGUGAUCCGGCGGUGCCGAAUGGAAGGGCCGUCGCUCAACGGAUAAAAGCUACCCUGGGGAUAACAGGCUGAUCUCGCCCAAGAGUUCACAUCGACGGCGAGGUUUGGCACCUCGAUGUCGGCUCAUCGCAUCCUGGAGCUGGAUUCGGUUCCAAGGGUUGGGCUGUCCGCCCAUUAAAGCGGUACGCGAGCUGGGUUCAGAACGUCGUGAGACAGUUCGGUCCCUAUCUGUUGUGGGCGAAGGAGAUCUGCGGAGAGCUGUCCUCAGUACGAGAGGACCGGGAUGGACCUACCGCUGGUGCACCGGUUGUUCCGCCAGGGGCAUAGCCGGGUAGCUAAGUAGGGAAAGGAUAAGCGCUGAAAGCAUCUAAGCACGAAGCCUACUCCAAGAUGAGAUCUCCCAUUCG